UACGUAGGGUGCAAGCGUUGUCCGGAAUUAUUGGGCGUAAAGAGCUCGUAGGCGGUUCGUCACGUCGGCUGUGAAAACCUGGGGCUCAACUCCGGGCCUGCAGCCGAUACGGGCGAACUAGAAUUCGGUAGGGGAGACUGGAAUUCCUGGUGUAGCGGUGAAAUGCGCAGAUAUCAGGAGGAACACCGGUGGCGAAGGCGGGUCUCUGGGCCGAUAUUGACGCUGAGGAGCGAAAGCGUGGGGAGCGAACAGG
rnacentral:rRNA from 1 species